AAAGUUCUCUACACGUUUGAUUGGCAGUCCUAUCAUGCUAGCUGUAAGCUCUUGUAGCUGUAAUUUUUUCAGACACAUACACCUUCUCAAAUAAAUCGGUGUGAUUGUGAUCAGCCAGAUGAAUAUGUGUUUGACUUUGAGUUCCCUUUUCUUUGGCAGCCGUGUCUAUGUUCUCUGCUCAGUAUACUUUUUGAAGAUAGUUUUAUGAACAUGAUCAGGGUAAGGAUUCCUCAAAUUAAGAUGCUGGAGUUCCUUUUCAAGAUCUUGGCCCAAUGAUAGCUAGAGAUGCUCAUGACAUUUCCUGAGAGUCGAGGCAACAUAUCUAGUGUAAUCUCAUAAGGAUCGCGGAUCAAUUCAUGUGUCCCUAUCCUUUAACUUUUGUGCAGG
rnacentral:lncRNA from 1 species